ACAGUUCUUGAAGGGAGGGCAGCGGGCAAUCAAUAAGCCACUCAGCAGCUGCAGAGGACAGACUCAAUGACUGCUGAGUAGAACUGUAUCAGCAGCGCCUGUGGCAGGUUGAACUUCCUCAGCUGGCGAAGAAAGGACAACCUCUGCUGGGCCUUUUUCACAAUGGAGUCAAUGUGGGUCUCCCACUUCAGGUCCUGUGAGAUGGUAGUGCCCAGGAAACUGAAUGACUCCACUGCUGCCACAGUGCAGUUCAGAAUGACCCCUCUCCCAAAAGAGAGCUGCCCACCAUGAUCCUGUUUAGUGUUGUUUUUGCAUUAAGGCCUAAGGACAAUACUCCCUCACCAGAAGAGACCCCCACAGCAGUUUUUCCUAAUACUCUGAUGAGGAAGAAAUGGGUCUCGGUGCCUGAGUCCACUGCUGAUCGCAUUGAGGCAUCCAAGUCCACUGCCCUUCGAACUCUCUAGACACCGCUGGGUCAGUCCCUUCCCCAGUGGCCAACGAAGAGGUGCUUUGACCUUGCUCUCAUACAGGUCUCCUGCUGCCUCAUCCUCGCUCUGGUCUUCUGAACCGUCUUGGUCUUCUGAAACAUUUUGUAUCACUGUUAUGUAGGAUACCACAAAUAGAUUUUUUGUUCUUUCUGUAGAAUGCUUGUUGUCUACCCUUAGACCAAAACAUAUUUUGUUUAUUGGCCUGAUUUCUCUCGGCUCUGCCCCAGUGAAGAAGCAUGGUAAAACUGUUCAUACUGAUGGUGUACCGCAAACUGCUAAGCUCCACGUAGAUCCUGGAAACUUCAAGGUGAGAGGUUCUAUGCAAAAAAUUGCUAAUGUAUUUUAGUGCAGUGUUUACAAAUCAUUCUCCCAUCUCACUUUAGUGUUUCACUAAUUUCUGACUCACCCAAUUCUUGUUAUGGAGCAUUUUGCUCAAGAGGCUGAUGAGGUGAAGGAGACAUCCAAAUAAGAAAUACUGGAGGUUAUGAAUUCAUGAAGUAUUGAUAGUUCAUUAACUACGUACUUUGUCCCAUAACAUCCUCGUGACUCUUGCAGGUAAUUUCCCUGCAGAAGUGCACGUGGCCGUGGACAAGUUCCUUGCAGCUCUCUCUGCCACUCUUGCUGAUAAAUACAGAUAAGCGCAUCAUUCAGCAGCUCUGCAUGUAUCUGCAUAUUGAGCCACUUAAGAGCAUAAAGUUAAAAUGGCAGUUGCAAUUAAUACAAUCUAUAACAACCAAGAAUGUCUCUUCUCUGUGUGUAUUCAGACAACAUUAACCAAAUCAGUAGGCCUAUGAGUUUACAACGUUAUUGAUCCCCACCCAUAUAGGACAAUUGAAAGUAUAGAGUUACAAGAUGCUUUCCACAGAGAACAAAAACAUAAAAUUCAACAAAAAUACAGUAAGAAACCCAUUACUAUAGAAACUUCUGGACAAAAUGCAGUGAAAACAGUGAUUAAAUAAAUGGCCGAAAUAAAAAGAACUUAGUGUAACAGGUAUGAAAGUAUAUUUUACAUACACAUGUAUUUGUCAUUUGUAGAAUUACACAGAAUUUUCAUGUGUACCUUAUGUGUGUCUCUGCCUGUUUAAUUUUGACUGCAAUCCUGUGCAGAACAAUUCUCAGUCUUAACUCCUCCUUUUCUUUUUCAGCUUUGUAGUAAUGGAGAAGCAGGCUUAUGCUUAGCUACAAUUAAUCUGUUUUCAUCUGUUUGUGAUAUUAUUUCCCCAUACAUUACAACAAUAUUUUAUUUUCUGUCUCUCAUAUGAACUUGAAACACAUGCUCACUAUAGCACACCAUU